UAGCGUGCGCGCACCCGUGAAUCUGGACGCGCUUCCCGUGAUCAAAGGCCGGUUUGACCGGGGCUAGAACACAUAUAAAGCUUGUGCUCCACAGCUACCUCGCCUGCCCAGCGAGUUUCUGUGAACCACCACAAAAGAAUUAGAUGUCGCACAAGGUUCGCCAUUAGUGUGGAGAUCGGGAGAGAGACGUCGUCGCCGACACUAGGGGGAGGAUACACCAUAGCUUGGGCCUCGACAGGGGAUCCGGUAGACUGGGUGGAUGACGCUCGGUAGUCUUGUCGCAUCUUAGGGUUGAUUUGGUGACAACCGAACCACGAGAAAAUUAAAGGAGAUUGAGGGGAAAAUGAACUAAUUUUCUCCUUUAAUCCCCUCCGAUCCAUCUGUGGUCUCGGGUCAUCAAAUCAGCCCUGAAGGGUGCCCGGGUGGCCGGGAAUUCUUUGCGGCGGUGAACUCCGACGUCAGGCUGUGACGGGUCGUGAUCGGUUCUCAAGAGUCUAUCCCCGUCUCUGGUAAGUCCCUAGAUAGCUCCGCCAUGAUUCGCGUUUUCCUUUGCACCAGAUUUGAGUAGGGCGGACCGCGGGGGCGCCGUUUUGAUCGUUUCCGGCGACUCGCCGCCGUGAGGAGUGCAGCUGUCGUUGCUGGUAGGGGUCGAGGUGGAGGUGAUUAGCGUCGGUCGUAGAUUCUCAGACGGGCGGUUCAGAUGAGAUCCUAGAAUACCCUUUUGAGUAAUUAAAUCAUGUCCGUCCGAUACGAUCGGACGUUUGGGGAUUGUUGCUGGCAUAGGGGUCUCGUGGGCCAUCCAUCUUCGAUCAUGUGGUCGACGUAGGAUACUAGUACAUAACACCUAAGAUAUAAUUGUGGCCUUCUGUUGACGAACCAACGGCUAUAGUAAGCCGAUACCCCUUCUUCAUGUGAAUUUUCUAAAAGAAACCCUUUAAAGCCAUGGAAUAAACCCGCAGUCCGGGUCCUAUAGGAAAUAAUUUUAGUUAGCUCCUAAACCUUUAUGCAGAGCACCCUGACUUUACUGGAUUUAGUGGCCGCCAUCCAAAUAGGCUUUAAUAAUCUGUAAAUAAAUGGAGAAAAUGAUUGUUAGUAUAGAAGUAAUCCUUGAAUCUUAGAAAAUUCAUAGAUUCUCCGUUUUAACUCCGAUUGAGCCUCUUCUAGUUGCGUUAACUUCAUAAUAAAAUUAUAUACACAUUAACAAAAUUGGUGUACUAUUUUCAAAAAAAAUUAAGUACUUGGUAAACCCAAAGUAUAUAGGGCUCACUCCUAAUCACAGUCGACAUAAUUAAUUUGAUUCAUCCACAAUUUGACCAAAAUAUGAUAUCUAAUUAGGUUAUAAAUUGUGUUCAAAUUGAAUUAAUUAUUUCUUCAGAGUGUAUGUCCCACAUGAAUGAAAUAAAUUAUUAUAGAAUAUGUCUUAUUUAAUCACCUAAGAACUUCAGAAAAUCUUCUUAACCGUAACUACGAAUUUAGUGGUUCUCCAACCUACGAUCUCGUUACGACGUGUAGAACAUUAUUAUGCAGUAUGUGUAAGGAAAAUGGACCUCGGGCCAUUUGGCUAAUUGAGUUUUGGUGUUUGAUGAUUAACACAAUCUAUGGACUAAUAUGUUUGCUAGUGUUUAUAACUGUAGUUCACGGGAUGCAAAGAGGAUUGGACUUAGGAAAUGAGGAUGCAACACCUCAAAAGAAGACAUAAAAGAUGCAUAAAAGUCCAAGACUCAAGAACAAAAGAAGCCCGAAGGAAUCAGCGAAGAAACCCUAGAAGAGGGCUGUCAGCCAGCGCCUGGUGGCGCACCGGACAGUGAACAGUACCUGUUCGGUGUGCACUGGACUGUCCGGUGGGACAACCGGAUAGUCUACGUAGAGGGGCCGUAGACAGGCGCCCUUGGGCUGUAGCACCGGACUGUCUGGUGUGCACCGAACAGUCGGUAACGGUCGGAUCGAACGGUCGACUGCUACAUACGCCAACGGUCGGCUGAUGUGGCGUGCACCGGACACUGCACAGUGCCUGUCCGGUGGUGCAGCGGACUGUCCGGUGCGCCCAACGGCUAGUUUGGGGGUUGGGGCUAUAAAUACCUCCCCAACCGGCCAUUCUCAAGUGUGAGAGCCCAAGCAACAUAUCAAGACAUAUAGUGCAUAUUUCCAAGAGCUCAAACACCCAAGUGCUUAAUAGAAUCACUCGGUGAUUAGCAUAGGUGCUUUGCGAAGUGCUUAGGUUAGGUAGACCGCUUUAGCGCUUGCUCUAGGUGAAUCCUAGUUAGUUGAGUGAGUUUAGAUAAACCACCAACCCCUCGGCUCUUGUGCGAGCCAUUAUUAUACCAAGUGGGGCGAGAGUCUUGCGAGACCGUGACAACCGUGUUUGUGUCACGGGUGCCACCGUGUACCGAAGGGAACGAGGCCCACGGUGUUUCGGCCGGAAGCUCGAUAGCAGAGACGGCGGGGAGCGUCCGAGAGGAGCUAGAAGCGGAGCACCACUUGAGUGUGGAGAAGGCCCGCGACUCUCUACGGAGUUACUCGACCGAGGUGCUUGGCCCUCGCGUGGGCUUCCCUUUGCGUAGGGGCACCAACGAGGAUUAGUCGUGACCUUGCGCAGUUCCGGAUACCUCGGUAAAAAUACCAGCGUCAUCCACGAGAGUUUGCAUCUCUACCUUGCCCUUUAAGUUUUCACAUUUGUAUGAAGCAUUUAAGUUUCAAUCUUGUAUUCAUACUUAAAUAGUGUAGAUUGAAACUUAGGUAUUGCGGUAGAGAUAGCAACACUUAGACAAAAUCUAGUUUGCACAUUCUAGUUUGAUUAUUUGCAUAGGUUUUGCUCUAGGGAUUUAUUUGUUGCCUAGUUUAGUGAAAGUUUUAGAAGUCCUAAUUCACGCCCCUCUUAGGAGUCACCCGUUUCCUACAGUAUGUUAUCUUGUUUGGUGUGAUGUUAAUUUGUCAUGUGCAAUGUUUGUUUGUAGUGUUGCGAGUAGACGAGCAAGUGAUUGAGGAGCCUGGAGAUCAACAAGUUCAAGAUACUGAGCAAGAGCACGCUGAAGGCAAGUUGUGCCCUUGACCACUCUUAUUAACCUAAUAAUAUUCUCUAUAAUCACUAUGACACGCUUAGGUUAAAUCUGAUGGGACCUAAGAGGUUAUCCUAGUUUGGUUUACUUCACACCUUGCUUACCACUAAACUUUUGGGUAGUAUCUGAUAUUGCUCUAUGUGGUUUUAGGUGUUAAGAUACAUAUGACACAUGAUCAUGCUUUUAUUACUACUGUUGAAUUAUUUAUUAUUCAUGAUAAGAUUAUUGUGUUCACUGGAACAUGGAGAACCACUCGGGAAAACAGUGCUACCAGAAGGGUGGAAUGGGACACCCUUGGCCAAGUAAUUAGGAAAGCUAGGGAGAGACUACCUUACCCAAAAGGGCAAUCGGGGAGUGUGUUGCUACAAAGUAUAGGGAUAUUCUCGGGUCGGACUGUCUACAAAGCUUUUCGGACGAGGGAUUUCUAUCCUUCCUUCUUCCUAAAUCUGUAGCAGGUUUUCUCGAACUAGUGGAACUUUGGAAAGGCAUCAUAGUGCUACCCUGCCUCGUCUCCUCGGUAGAGAUGAAUAGGAUUUUUAGACCCCUUGGUAAAUGGGUGAUAUAGCCUGUGGGUAAAGAUGUGUAGUUUCUGCGAAGUGUAAAACCGGUAUAUUAGUCGUGCUUAGGGUCAUGAGCGGCUCGGGCACUCACAUGAGUAAUUUAUGGAAUUAAACUUAACCUGUCAUAUGCAUUGCAUUGUGGGUUUUAUUAUAAUUGUGAUCUCUUAUUGUAUUGGGAUGGUAUACACUUAUACUUAGUAAUUGCUAAUAAAAUUUGACCAACUUAUUAAAACCAAUGCUCAGCUUUAACCAUUAUUUGUUGAUCAGCCUUACAUUAUACAUGAGCCCCCACCGUAAGUGAGCUUAUGCAUAUUAUUCCCCACACUUGUUCAGCGAUGAACUUUUGUGAGCUCACUCCUGUGAUAACCCCCCCCCCCCCCCCCCCGCUACAGGUGAAGAGCAGGUGCCACCGGAGGUGGACUAUUACGACGAG
rnacentral:lncRNA from 1 species